rnacentral:rRNA from 1 species
UGGGGAAUUUUGGACAAUGGGCGAAAGCCUGAUCCAGCAAUGCCGCGUGUGUGAAGAAGGCCUUCGGGUUGUAAAGCACUUUUGUCCGGAAAGAAAUGGCUCUGGUUAAUACCUGGGGUCGAUGACGGUACCGGAAGAAUAAGGACCGGCUAACUACGUGCCAGCAGCCGCGGUAAUACGUAGGGUCCAAGCGUUAAUCGGAAUUACUGGGCGUAAAGCGUGCGCAGGCGGUUGUGCAAGACCGAUGUGAAAUCCCCGAGCUUAACUUGGGAAUUGCAUUGGUGACUGCACGGCUAGAGUGUGUCAGAGGGGGGUAGAAUUCCACGUGUAGCAGUGAAAUGCGUAGAGAUGUGGAGGAAUACCGAUGGCGAAGGCAGCCCCCUGGGAUAACACUGACGCUCAUGCACGAAAGCGUGGGGAGCAAACAGGAUUAGAUACCCUGGUAGUCCACGCCCUAAACGAUGUCAACUAGUUGUUGGGGAUUCAUUUCCUUAGUAACGCUAGCUAACGCGUGAAGUUGACCGCCUGGGGAGUACGGUCGCAAGNUUAAAAGCUC